rnacentral:rRNA from 1 species
GACGAACGCUGGCGGCGUGCUUAACACAUGCAAGUCGAACGGAAAGGCCCUGCUUUUGUGGGGUGCUCGAGUGGCGAACGGGUGAGUAACACGUGAGUAACCUGCCCUUGACUUUGGGAUAACUUCAGGAAACUGGGGCUAAUACCGGAUAGGAGCUCCUGCUGCAUGGUGGGGGUUGGAAAGUUUCGGCGGUUGGGGAUGGACUCGCGGCUUAUCAGCUUGUUGGUGGGGUAGUGGCUUACCAAGGCUUUGACGGGUAGCCGGCCUGAGAGGGUGACCGGCCACAUUGGGACUGAGAUACGGCCCAGACUCCUACGGGAGGGAGCAGUGGGGAAUAUUGCACAAUGGGCGGAAGCCUGAUGCAGCAGCGCCGCGUGCGGGAUGACGGCCGUCGGGUUGUAAACCGCUUUCGCCUGUGACGAAGCGUGAGUGACGGUAAUGGGUAAAGAAGCACCGGCUAACUACGUG